UACCUAUAAGACUGGGAUAACUUUGGAGAAACCGGAGCUAAUACCGGAUAAUAUAUUGAACCGCAUGGUUCAAUAGUGAAAGACGGUUUUGCUGUCACUUAUAGAUGGAUCCGCGCCGCAUUAGCUAGUUGGUAAGGUAACGGCUUACCAAGGCAACGAUGCGUAGCCGACCUGAGAGGGUGAUCGGCCACACUGGAACUGAGACACGGUCCAGACUCCUACGGGAGGCAGCAGUAGGGAAUCUUCCGCAAUGGGCGAAAGCCUGACGGAGCAACGCCGCGUGAGUGAUGAAGGUCUUCGGAUCGUAAAACUCUGUUAUUAGGGAAGAACAAAUGUGUAAGUAACUAUGCACGUCUUGACGGUACCUAAUCAGAAAGCCACGGCUAACUACGUGCCAGCAGCCGCGGUAAUACGUAGGUGGCAAGCGUUAUCCGGAAUUAUUGGGCGUAAAGCGCGCGUAGGCGGUUUUUUUAAGGUCUGAUGUGAAAGCCCACGGGCUCAACCGUGGAGGGGUCAUUGGAAAACUGGGAAAAACCUUGAAGUGCCAGAAAGAGGGAAAAGUGGAAUUCCCAUGUGUGAGCCGG
rnacentral:rRNA from 1 species